AAGAAAGAAGAAAGAGAGAGAAAGAAAGAGAGAGAGAGAAAGAAAGAGAGAGAGGGAGGGAGGGAAGGAAAGAAGAAAGAGUGAGUCAGACAAGGAGAGGUGAGCUAGCUUUGUAAAUAUCCAUAAUCCAUUUUUAACUAUAACUAAGAAAUCACGUUGCCCAAGGCCUUGGGAGUCCACUCCUUGUACCAGCAAGCCUUGGAUGUCAGACAUGAAAUCAAAAGAGAUUAUUUUGGAGCUUUAAGUUUUAAUGACUGCCUUGCUGGGAUUCCAACUUGCUUGGGGCCUGUAUCUUCUUUCUUUUGGUCAAUUUCUCCCUUUUUGAACAGGAAUGCUUACCCAAUUCCUAUACCUCCAUUGCAUCUUGGAAGUAAAUAACCUGUUUUUUAUUUUACAGGAUCAUAGAUGGAAGGGACUUGCCUUGUCUCAGACAGGACUUGGGACUUUUGAGUCAAUGCUGGAAUCAGUUAAGAAUUUAGGGGACUGUUGGGAAGGCAUGAUACCAUUUUGAAAUGUCAAAAGGGCAUGAGAUUUGCGAAGGGCCAGAGCAGAAUGAUAUACUUUUCAGAAUGAUAUCCCCCAAAUAUCAUGUUGAAUUGUAAUCCCCAAUGCUGGGGUGAGGUCUUGUGGGAGGUGUUUGGAUCAUGGAGGCAGAUCUCUCAUGACUUGGUACUUACUUCAUGAUAGUGAGUUCUCAUGGGAUCUAGUCCUUUAAAAGUGUGUGGCACCUCCUCUGCUCACUCUCUUUCUUGCUCCUGCUUUUACUAUGUGACAUGCCAGCUCUCCCUUUACCUUCUGCCAUGAUUGGAAGCUUCCUGAGGCCUUCCCAGAAGCAGAUGCCAAUAUGCUGCCUGUACAACCUGCAGAACUCCAACCAAGGAAUCAACCGAUAGAAACAACUCUGUGUUUGUAGGUUUGAAUAUGUGUUAUAUGCACUUAUAAAUUCUUCCAGAGAAACUCUAUACACGUAACAGAAGCUUUUUACACAAAUGUUUGCACUUAGCACACAUUGUUCUGAAAUUUGCUCCCCCUCACCUCCCCACACCCCAAUGAGUUGAAUGCUAUAUAUUAGAAAACCUUAUGUUUUUAUAUAACACUAUAGUAUAAUGCUAUUUCAUUAUUAUUUGAAAUUAUACAUAAAUUAUAAUUUUCAUUGAAUGGAUAUUAUAGAGCUAAUUAACACAAAUUACUUUUAAUUUUCUUAUUUAGUGUUGUCAUUUAUAGCAAAAUUCUGGUAAUACUAUUUUAAUAGUCUUCUGAAAAUCUACUACCCAAACAGGUAUUAACGUAAUGUCUUGCUAUUGCGUUGAAAAUGUCUCUAAAUAACUUGCAUUGUUAUUGUCUCUAAAUAAUUGCAGUUACUGUCUCUAAAUAACUUGAAAUUCGGUAUAUUGUGCUUUCCUUAUUUUGAAAUGUUUAAAAAUAAAUUGGUCUUUAUUUACUUGCAUAAAUAUAUUAGAUUUUUCUAAGUACUAUUUUUAUAUUUUACCUACUUUCACUGAAAUAUGUAAACACUCUCAAAGAAGUGUCUGGGAAUUUUUAUUUGCUGAUUUAUUUAUUAUAUUUAUUUUCUCCUACUUUCUUCUCUUCUUGAUUUUGAAAUCCUAAAAUCCCUUAAUUAAACUCAUUUAUUUCCUUUAAUUAUAUCUUCCUGUCUCAUGAAAACAUAUUCCUUAAUUUUGCCUUAAAAAGUUAUGCACAAAAUGAGUUUCCUUGAAAAUCAAAGAGCCUCAAACAGUAAAACAAAUACAAAUAAGCAUACUGUUCACCAUUUAGAGUUCUGAUGGAAGGGAAAAGGUCAGAGGAAAUGGAAAACAUGAAACUAGCACGUUUCCUGGCUAAAAUGUGUAUAAGGAUUGUGUCAGGUCUCCUAUUCCAUUUAUAAGUGGAAAGUAUGUUUUAGUUCCACACAAUACUGAGUAGAAGCUUCAAAGUACAGAUAUGCUCAGGAACAAAUGCAUGCUUGUUACUUUUAAAUCACUUGUAUAUAUUCUAAUGUUCUUUGUCCUCUUGGAGUCUCCAACUCAGAUUAAUAUUUUAUUACAGCAGUUACUGUUUUUAAAAUGGACAGCCUGACUUAAUCUCAAUUUGUUAACAGUGAUUUAAAUGAAAUAUCUUUGAAUAAUUAAUAUUAAGUAUUCACGAUAUGUAAAAGACUAGUUAGCUAGGUUAACUUUGCUUAAUAAAAAUGAAGUGACUGAAGUCAAUGUACAUGAUGAGCUAUAUUUCUUGAAUGCCUUUAUACUUGUAUUUGUUGAUUUGUUGGAAAGAAACCUGAACAUUUAUUAAGGUUUCAUUAUAUGGCUAAAGAAUUGUAUGCUUUUCAACCACAGUGCACUCUGUUUUUUGUUAUUAAAGAAGAAAGCUCAACUUAACUAAAAAUGGAGAUUUGCUUGUUAGAUGAUUGUUUUUAAGAAUAAUUGUGUUUUGUUUCUACAUGCAGAAGCUAAUUUUAAAUACUUAUUGAAUUAAAAAGAAAAAAGUAUGCAAAAUUAUAAAAAUUUUGGCCAG
rnacentral:lncRNA from 1 species